GCCCGCCUAGCUCAAUCGGAUAGAGCGUCAGACUCUUAAAUACGAGAUGCGGGUCAAUGUUGGUCACCCCUUUGUGAUCUGAAGGCUGCGAGUUCGACCCUCGCGGUGGGCU